rnacentral:rRNA from 1 species
GGGAACAUGGCGGGGUGCCUAUACAUGCAAGUCGAGCGAACGGAUAAGGAGCUUGCUCCUUUGAAGUUAGCGGCGGACGGGUGAGUAACACGUGGGUAACCUACCUAUAAGACUGGAAUAACUUCGGGAAACCGGAGCUAAUGCCGGAUAACAUAUAGAACCGCAUGGUUCUAUAGUGAAAGAUGGUUUUGCUAUCACUUAUAGAUGGACCCGCGCCGUAUUAGCUAGUUGGUAAGGUAAUGGCUUACCAAGGCGACGAUACGUAGCCGACCUGAGAGGGUGAUCGGCCACACUGGAACUGAGACACGGUCCAGACUCCUACGGGAGGCAGCAGUAGGGAAUCUUCCGCAAUGGGCGAAAGCCUGACGGAGCAACGCCGCGUGAGUGAUGAAGGUUUUCGGAUCGUAAAACUCUGUUAUUAGGGAAGAACAAAUGCGUAAGUAACUGUGCGCAUCUUGACGGUACCUAAUCAGAAAGCCACGGCUAACUACGUGCCAGCAGCCGCGGUAAUACGUAGGUGGCAAGCGUUAUCCGGAAUUAUUGGGCGUAAAGCGCGCGUAGGCGGUUUCUUAAGUCUGAUGUGAAAGCCCACGGCUCAACCGUGGAGGGUCAUUGGAAACUGGGAAACUUGAGUGCAGAAGAGGAAAGUGGAAUUCCAUGUGUAGCGGUGAAAUGCGCAGAGAUAUGGAGGAACACCAGUGGCGAAGGCGACUUUCUGGUCUGUAACUGACGCUGAUGUGCGAAAGCGUGGGGAUCAAACAGGAUUAGAUACCCUGGUAGUCCACGCCGUAAACGAUGAG